UACAGAGGAGGCCAAGCGUUGUCCGGAUUGACUGGGCGUAAAGCGCACGCAGGCGGUCGCGCGCGUGGGGUGUGAAAUCUGGACCGCUUAACGGCCAGGCGCCAUCCCAUACGGCGCGACUCGAGCCAUGCAGAGGGCGGUGGAAGUUGCCGGUGUAGUGGUGAAAUGCGUAGAGAUCGGCAGGAACACCCAGGGGGAAACCAGC
rnacentral:rRNA from 1 species